rnacentral:rRNA from 1 species
UCCCGACGCUCCGAGUCGCAGCCACAAUUAUUGGGUCUAAAACAUUCGUAGCUUGUUUGUUAAGUUUUUUGUGAAAUCUGAAAUCCCAAGUUUCAGGCGUGCAAAGAAUACUGGCAAACUCGAGACCGGAAGAAGCAAGAAGUAUGCUAGAGGUAGUGGUAAAAUAUGUUAAUCUCAAGCAGACUAACAACAGCGAAGGCAUCUUGCUAGUACGGAUCUGACAGUGAGGAAUGAAGGCUAGGGGCGCAAAGUG